rnacentral:rRNA from 1 species
AAUCUGGUUGAUCCUGCCAGUAGUCAUAUGCUUGUCUCAAAGAUUAAGCCAUGCAUGUGUAAGUAUAAGUAUUAUACGGCGAAACUGCGAAUGGCUCAUUAAAACAGUUAUGAUUUAUUUGAUAAUCGAAAGUUACAUGGAUAACCGUGACAAAUUACAGCUAAUACAUGCAUUCAGACCUGGUCCAAGGGUCGUAAUUAUUAGUAUUAAACCAUUUCCGAAAGGAGUGUGAUGAAUCAUAAUAAUCGAACGAAUCGCCUGGUGUGCGAUAAAUCAUUCAAGUUUCUGCCCUAUCAGCUUUGGAUGGUAGUGUAUUGGACUACCAUGGCAGUCACGGGUAACGGAGAAUUAGGGUUCGAUUCCGGAGAGGGAGCCUGAGAAACGGCUACCACAUCUACGGAAGGCAGCAGGAGCGAAAAUUGCCCAAUCCCGACACGGGGAGGCAGUGACAAGAAAUAACAACUCUAGGUUAUUCUUAGAAGUGUAAUGAGGAUAAUUUACAACCCUUACCGAAAGCAAUUGGAGGGCAAGUCUGGUGCCAGCAGCCGCGGUAAUUCCAGCUCCAAUAGCGUAUAUUAAAGUUGUUGCAGUUAAAAAGCUCGUAGUUGAAAUUCUGAUUGUUCGGGUUUUUAGCCUUUAGGCGGAAAUACCGACAGUCAUCCGCUUGCAAACAUACGUUUGACCUUAACCAGUUGACUAUGUGAGUAAGCAUUUUACCUUGAGAAAAACAGAGUGUUCCAGGCAGGUUUGUCCGGAAUGCAUUAGCAUGGAAUAAUAGAACAUGACUGAAGUCUAUUUAUUGGUUAAAGGCUUUAGUAAUGAUUAAUAGGAACAGUCGGGGGCAUUCGUACUCAGCAGUCAGAGGUGAAAUUCUAAGAUUUGCUGAAGACGAACUAAUGCGAAAGCAUUUGCCAAGGAUGUUUUCAUUAAUCAAGAACGAAAGUUAGGGGAUCAAAGACGAUCAGAUACCGUCCUAGUCUUAACUAUAAACGAUACCGACUCGGAUUCAGAUGAAUCAAAAUGUUCAUUUGGGACCGUAGGAGAAAUCAAAGUCUUUGGGUUCUGGGGGGAGUAUGGUCGCAAGGCUGAAACUUAAAGGAAUUGACGGUUUUGCACCACCAUGGAGUGGAGUUUGCGGCUUAAUUUGACAACACUGGGAAACUCAUCAGGGCAAGAAGAUUUUAGGAUUGACAGAUUGAGAGUUCUUUCUUGAUUGGUCUAGUGGUGGUGCAUGGCCGUUCUUAGUUGGUGGAGUGAUUUGUCUGGUUAAUUCCGUUAACGAACGAGACCUUAACCUGCUAACUAGUGUUCCGAUCUCAAAUCGGAAGCACUUCUUAGAGGGACUAUGUGAUGUAAUCACAUGGAAGUUUGAGGCAAUAACAGGUCUGUGAUGCCCUUAGAUGUCCUGAGCUGCACGCGUACUACAAUGGCACUUUCAACGAGUUUUUCCUGAUCCGAAAGGAUUUGGGUAAUCUUUUUAGUGA